UACGUAGGUGGCAAGCGUUGUCCGGAUUUACUGGGUGUAAAGGGCGUGUAGGCGGGAUAGCAAGUCAGAUGUGAAAUUCCGGGGCUUAACCCCGGCACUGCAUCUGAAACUGUUAUUCUUGAGUGUCGGAGAGGAAAGUGGAAUUCCCAGUGUAGCGGUGAAAUGCGUAGAUAUUGGGAGGAACACCAGUGGCGAAGGCGGCUUUCUGGAAGAUAACUGACGCUGAGGCGCGAAAGCGUGGGGAGCAAACAGG
rnacentral:rRNA from 1 species